rnacentral:rRNA from 2 species
UACGGAGGGAGCUAGCGUUGUUCGGAAUUACUGGGCGUAAAGCGCGCGUAGGCGGUCCAUCAAGUCAGAGGUGAAAGCCCGGGGCUCAACCCCGGAACUGCCUUUGAAACUAGCGGACUAGAAUCUUGGAGAGGUCAGUGGAAUUCCGAGUGUAGAGGUGAAAUUCGUAGAUAUUCGGAAGAACACCAGUGGCGAAGGCGACUGACUGGACAAGUAUUGACGCUGAGGUGCGAAAGCGUGGGGAGCAAACAGG